CCUACGGGUGGCAGCAGUGAGGAAUAUUGGUCAAUGGGCGCGAGCCUGAACCAGCCAAGUAGCGUGAAGGAUGACUGCCCUACGGGUUGUAAACCUCUUUUAUAAAGGAAUAAAGUGAGGCACGUGUGCCUUGUUGUAUGUACUUUAUGAAACAGGAUCGGCUAACUCCGUGCCAGCAGCCGCGGUAAUACGGAGGAUCCGAGCGUUAUCCGGAUUUAUUGGGUUUAAAGGGAGCGUAGAUGGUUUGUUAAGUCAGUUGUGAAAGUUUGCGGCUCAACCGUAGAAUUGCAUUUGAUACUGGCAGUCUUGAGUACAGUAGAGGUAGGCGGAAUGCGUGGUGUAGCGGUGAAAUGCUUAGAUAGCACGAAGAACUCCGAUUGCGAAGGCAGCUUGCUGGACUGCCACUGACGUUGAUGCUCGAAAGUGUGGGUAUCAAACAGGAUUAGAUACCCGAGUAGUC
rnacentral:rRNA from 1 species